rnacentral:lncRNA from 1 species
UUAUCCCACCGAGGCCACCAUAGACCAGCCAGCCCUCAGCGUACAUGCCAGCUAAUUACAGAUGCAGGAGCAAACCCCUGGCCCAUACAUCAAUUUUAAUGUCAUUGAAUACAGAGAACAAAUCUCAUUCACUUUGGUAUCGGCUGGAGUCAACAAACAUUUAAAAAUCAUUUACUGCGUCUGAUUUUGGAUUUUGAGUCUUGCUCUAUGGCCCAGACUGGAGUGCAGUGGCGUGAUCUCAGCUCACUUCAACCUCCACCUCCCGGGUUCGAGAGAGAUUCUCCUGCCUCAUCCUCCCGAGUAGCUGGGAUCACCGGCGCCCACAACCACACCCGGCUAAUUUUUGUACUUUUAGUGGAGACAGGGUUUCACCAUGUUGGCUAGGCUGGUCACAAACUCCCGACCUCAGGUUAUCCAUCUGCCUUGGCCUCCCAAAGUGCUGGGAUUACAGGCGUGAGCCCCCGCACCUGGCCAAGAUCAGCUAGAUUUUGGAAGCAUUGCCUUCUACAGAAUCCACAGUAGUCCGAAGCUCUUCUACGGUUUUUGUCAAACUUUGAUUUUCCAUCUCUAGCUUCAAUAAUCUACUUGAUGUCAACUCAUUCACCUCAUGGCCCAGGGAUUUCUGGGGUGCUAUAAUAUUGAAAAAUACACCAUUGUAUUUACUCUUUACUGUUUUUACUAUGUUUACUCUUUACUAUUUAAAAAGUUGAGUGUAUAUGCAUUGCAUCAUCUGAUCCUUAACUUUAUUAAAAAUUCAAUGAGGUUAUAUAAGAUAAACAA